AUUCCGAUAACGAACGAGACUCUAGCCUGCUAAAUAGGUGACGGGUUUUAUCAAUUGAAACCGAAGGGAGUACGGAGGCGUCGGGAUCAGGUGGCGGCGAUUCGGGUCUCGGUGGGACUGGUUCCUUUAGUGAGGCACCCUCUCGGCUUGGAUUGUUUCGUUGUGCUUUGUAUUUGUUGGGUGUACGGCCUUCACGGGUUGGUUGCCUGAUGGGUGUGAGGUAUGGCGGGGCCGUCUUUGUCGGGAAUGUCUCGCGGGGGCUGGCUCUAUUGUUAUUCGGUCGUCGUCAUCCCCGGCGAUACCUUCUGCUCUCGCGUCCGUCACGCAGUCUUC
rnacentral:rRNA from 1 species